rnacentral:rRNA from 1 species
GAUCCUGGCUCAGGACGAACGCUGGCGGCGUGCUUAACACAUGCAAGUCGAACGAGAGGACAAGAGAAGCUUGCUUCUUUUGGAAUCGAGUGGCAAACGGGUGAGUAACACGUAAACAACCUGCCUUCAGGAUGGGGACAACAGACGGAAACGACUGCUAAUACCGAAUACGCUUGGGAGACCGCAUGAUCUUCCAAGGAAAGGGUGGCCUCUACCUGUAAGCUAUCGCCUGAAGAGGGGUUUGCGUCCG